AAAAUACUUCCUCCGUUUCAAAUUACUCGUCGUAGAAAUGGAUGUAUCUAGAACUAAAAUACAUCUAGAUACAUCCAUUUCUGUGACGACUAAUUCGGAACGGAGGGAGUAGCAU
rfam:Triticum urartu cultivar G1812 contig951080, whole genome shotgun sequence.